UACGUAGGCAGCAAGCGUUGUUCGGAAUUACUGGGCGUAAAGAGCGUGUAGGCGGCCAGGUAGGUCUGCUGUGAAAACUCGAGGCUUAACCUCGAGAUGUCGGCGGAAACCAUCUGGCUAGAGUCCGGAAGAGGAGAAUGGAAUUCCCGGUGUAGCGGUGAAAUGCGCAGAUAUCGGGAAGAACACCCGUGGCGAAGGCGGUUCUCUGGGACGGUACUGACGCUGAGACGCGAAAGCGUGGGGAGCGAACAGG
rnacentral:rRNA from 1 species